ACACGCGAAGGGAGGUGGUCCAACGCAUGAAUUGCUAUCGGACUCGUGAGGUGGCGGCGGGCUGACCGCCAACCACUAGUUAGUGGGCAUGUGGUCGGCCAAUCCAACGCCGCCACCGGGCCCGCAGGCAGCCAGGAAAGUCCGCCUGGCCCGGAGUUCGGCCACCCGGUCGUGUCUUCGGAAGUGUCUGCGGGUCUCUU
rnacentral:sRNA from 1 species